rnacentral:lncRNA from 1 species
AAAUAAAUAUACAUAUAUGCGUAUAUCGUACCAUCUUGCAUUUUUCAGCGUAUAUGCAUUCGUUAUAUAGUACAAGUACCUCCCUCUACGGCCAGUUCAA